rnacentral:rRNA from 1 species
GAUGAACGCUGGCGGCGUGCCUAAUACAUGCAAGUCGAGCGAACAGACGAGGAGCUUACUCCUCUGACGUUAGCGGCGGACGGGUGAGUAACACGUGGAUAACCUACCUAUAAGACUGGGAUAACUUCGGGAAACCGGAGCUAAUACCGGAUAACAUGUUGAACCGCAUGGUUCAACAGUGAAAGACGGUCUUGCUGUCACUUAUAGAUGGAUCCGCGUCGCAUUAGCUAGUUGGUAAGGUAACGGCUUACCAAGGCAACGAUGCGUAGCCGACCUGAGAGGGUGAUCGGCCACACGGGAACUGAGACACGGUCCAGACUCCUACGGGAGGCAGCAGUAGGGAAUCGUCCGCAAUGGGCGAAAGCCUGACGGAGCAACGCCGAGUGAGUGAAGAAGGUCUUCGGAUCGUAAAACUCUGUUAUUAGGGAAGAACAAAUGUGUAAGUAACUAUGCACGUCUUGACGGUACCUAAUCAGAAAGCCACGGCUAACUACGUG